UUUUUCAGGAAGAAAACCGUGUGGUUAAUUCCCUUACGGGAAGACGGUACCGAAAGAAUAAACACCCGCUAACUUCCUGCCCGGAGACGCGGUAAUUAGAAGGGGGCAAGCGUUAAUUGGAAUUACUGGGGGGAAAGCGGGCGUAGGCGGUUUGUUAAGUCAGAUGUGAAAGCCCCGGGGUCAACCUGGGAAAUGCCUUUGAUGAUGGCAGGGUAGGGGACGGUAAAGGGUGGUGGAAUUCCCGGUGGAGGCGUGAAAAGGGUAGAGUUUGGGAGGAACCUCCGUGGCGGAGGCGACCACCUGGACCAGUACUGACGGUGAGGCACGAAAGGGUGGGGAGCAAACAGGAUUA
rnacentral:rRNA from 1 species